AUGGCGGCCACCACAACGCCGAAGCUGUACGCCACGGGCGUCAUGGACAUGGAAAGAGUGACAACCUACCCCAACGUGUACUCCCUGGCGCAGUGCACGCCGGACCUGUCCGCCGACGACUGCUCGGCUUGCCUGCGCCGCCUCCUCGGCAUGGUCAACUCCACCAUGGCCCUGCGCAUGGGUGGGCAGAUGGGUGUCACGCGGUGUUAUUUCAGGUACGAGGCAUCUCAUUUCUACGGUGCCCAGCCCAUGCUAAGCCUGCCGUCGUCGCCGCCGGGGACGACUCCCACUCCGACCAAACGCAGGAGCAUGCUGUGGGUGAUUCCCGUAGCUGUAGUUCCUCUAGCGGCAGCAGCGUUCUUCUUCUUCAUCUGUUACUGUCGCCGGCUCAAAAGACAAAGAAAAGUAUCAAGAGGUGCUCACAGUUUAGAGUGGCAAGGGAAGAAUUCGGACUUCUCUUUGUUUGAGUUUGAAGAGCUACUGGAGGCCACAAAUAAUUUCUCAGAAGAAAGCAAACUUGGGCAAGGUGGCUUUGGCGCUGUCUACAAGGGCCAACUUGCAGAUAGGUCGGAGAUAGCAGUUAAGAGACUUGCUUCACAUUCAGGACAAGGUUUCAUAGAAUUUAAAAAUGAAGUUCAGCUCAUAGCCAAACUCCAGCAUACAAAUUUGGUUAGGCUCUUGGGAUGUUGCUCUCAAGAGGAGGAGAAAAUACUGGUCUAUGAAUACUUGCCAAACAAAAGCCUGGAUUUCUUCAUCUUUGAUGAGAAUAGAAGAGCUUUGCUGGAUUGGACAAAACUUCUUGCAAUAAUUGAAGGCGUAGCACAUGGACUUCUUUACUUGCAUACGCACUCUCGGUUACUUGUGAUACAUCGAGAUCUUAAACCAAGCAACAUCCUCCUAGACAGUGCAAUGAAUCCCAAAAUUUCAGAUUUCGGGCUAGCAAAAAUAUUUAGCUCAAAUGACACCGAGGAAGACAUUACAAGAAGAGUUGUUGGCACAUAUGGCUACAUGGCCCCUGAGUAUGCUUCGAAGGGCAUCUUCUCUAUUAAAUCCGAUGUCUUCAGCUUUGGUGUUAUCAUUUUUGAGAUUCUUAGCGGAAAACGGAAUUCUGGCACCCAACAACGUGGAGGUUUCAUCAAUCUUCUUGGAUAUGCAUGGCAAUUAUGGGAAGAGGGAAAGUGGAUUGACCUUGUUGAUGCAUCAUUGAUUUUUGAUAGUCACUCAAAGAUAAGGCGAUGCAUUAACAUAGCAUUGUUGUGCGUACAAGAGAAUGCAGUUGAUCGACCAACCAUGGGAGACAUUGUUUCAAUGCUAAGCAAUGAGACUAUGAUCUUGGCUGAGCCUAAGCAGCCUGCAUAUAUCAAUGUAAGAGUAGGAAAUGAAGAGACGUCCACUGCUCUUGAGUCAUAUAGUAUCAAUGAUGUGAGCAUAUCUAUCACAAGUCCAAGAUAG
rnacentral:rRNA from 1 species